rnacentral:rRNA from 1 species
UCCUACGGGAGGCAGCAGUAGGGAAUCUUCCGCAAUGGACGCAAGUCUGACGGAGCAACGCCGCGUGAGUGAAGAAGGUUUUCGGAUCGUAAAGCUCUGUUGUUAAGGAAGAACGUUCAUGGUAGUAACUGGCCAUGAAGUGACGGUACUUAACCAGAAAGCCACGGCUAACUACGUGCCAGCAGCCGCGGUAAUACGUAGGUGGCAAGCGUUAUCCGGAAUUAUUGGGCGUAAAGCGCGCGUAGGCGGCAAGAAAAGUCUGAUGUGAAAGCCCCCGGCUCAACCGGGGAGGGUCAUUGGAAACUGUUUUGCUUGAGUACAGAAGAGGAGAGUGGAAUUCCAUGUGUAGCGGUGAAAUGCGCAGAGAUAUGGAGGAACACCAGUGGCGAAGGCGGCUCUCUGGUCUGUAACUGACGCUGAUGUGCGAAAGCGUGGGGAUCAAACAGGAUUAGAUACCCUGGUAGUCCACGCCGUAAACGAUGAGUGCUAAGUGUUAGGGGGUUUCCGCCCCUUAGUGCUGCAGCAAACGCAUUAAGCACUCCGCCUGGGGAGUACGACCGCAAGGUUGAAACUCAAAGGAAUUGACGGA